rnacentral:lncRNA from 1 species
UCAGCAGACUACAAGAAGCAGAGCCACCCUCAAUCUCAGUAGACACCAUCUAAUCAGCUGCCAGCAAGGCUAGAAUAAAGCAGGCAGGAGAAUAUGGAAGAGCAGACUUGCUGAGACUUCUGGCCUUCAUCUUUCUCUUGUGGUAGAUGCUUCCUGCCCUCGAACAUCAGACUCCAAGUUCUUCAGCUUUUGGAAUCUUGGACUUAUAUUGGUAAUUUGCCAGGGACUCUCGGGCCUUUGGCCACAGACUGAAGGCUGCACUGUUGGCUUCCCUAUUUUUGAGGUUUUGGGACUCGCACUGAUCCACCACUGGCUUCCUUGGCUCCUCAACUUGCAGCCAGCCUAUCAUGCGACUUACCUAGUGAUCAUGAAUGCUGUGACCUCUGAGAUAAUUCACCCACCGCAGUCAGACUGCUGAAGAACAUUGGAUGGGUGGAAAAGGAACAUCUCAACCAGGAGAGAAGGAACUGAGUCAAGAAAGGGCUGCAUCUGGUGACCAUGUCUCUCCUAGUGAUGGAACCCAGGGCUGCUGCAGCCAAGAGCCUAUUACAGUGGAGACGCCUUGACCAAAGCCCCAGAGCCCUUGAGUUGUCUGUCCCCCUCCUCUGACAUGAUGGGUAAUCUGAUGGAAGCUCUGAGAGGCACUGCCUAGAAUUAAGCCCUAUGUGUAAACAAAGCAAGGGAGAAAGAACAUGUGCUAUCAAAUAUGAUUCAUGAUUCAAAUAUAUUUUAAUAUCUUAUUCUUUUCACACUCUGAGAAACUAUUCUGAUAAUGUGAUUGUUUUGUAAAGGAGUGUAUCUUC